rnacentral:snRNA from 1 species
AGCUUUGGGCAGUGGCAGUAUCAUAGCCAAUGACAUUUAUCUGAGGCACUAUUAUUGCUAAUUGAAAAUAAAACAAAAACAU